CGGGGUGUGGCUCAGCUUGGUAGAGCGCUUGGUUCGGGACCAAGAGGCCGAAGGUUCGAAUCCUUUCACUCCGACCA
rnacentral:tRNA from 2 species